rnacentral:misc_RNA from 1 species
GGAAGUAAAAGUCGAACAAGGUUUCCGUAGGUGAACCUGCGGAAGGAUCAUUAAUGAGUUGUCAUGGGGUUCGAUGCUGGCAGCCAGUUUUGGAUGCAUGUGCUUGCCCUAACAAUCAUCUUCUUCCAAACACCUGUGCACAUUUUUGAGGGAGUCUUGAGUUGGUUGCCGCUCUUGGGUGAUUUUCUCACAUUCCCUUAAAUCAUUAUACGCUAUUAACAAUGUUGAACGUGCUCUGUGCCGCAAGGCCAUUAAUAUAAUACAACUUUUAACAACGGAUCUCUUGGUUCCG